CCCCUUUUAAAAACACUCAGUGGGCCUUUUGGUACUGACCCACUGAGCCGUCAAGAAGGGGCAGAGUGAAAAACACUACUUUUGGGUGAAGUGGCAACAUGUUGUGUUGAUUAACUUCAAUCGAUAUUGUGACAGGA